GACGAACGCUGGCGGCGUGCUUAACACAUGCAAGUCGAACGGAUGGAUUGGAGCUUGCUCCAUGAAGUUAGUGGCGGACGGGUGAGUAACGCGUGGGUAACCUGCCCUAUGCAGGGGGAUAACGUUUGGAAACGAACGCUAAUACCGCAUAAUCUAGUUGGUUCGCAUGAACCGAUUAGCAAAGAUUUUAUCGGCAUAGGAUGGACCCGCGUUAGAUUAGCUAGUUGGUGAGAUAACAGCCCACCAAGGCAACGAUCUAUAGCCGGCCUGAGAGGGUGAACGGCCACACUGGGACAGAGACACGGCCCGGACUCCUACGGGAGGCAGCAGUGGGGAAUAUUGCACAAUGGGCGCAAGCCUGAUGCAGCAACGCCGCGUGAGGGAUGACGGCCUUCGGGUUGUAAACCUCUUUUAGUAGGGAAGAAGCGAAAGUGACGGUACCUGCAGAAAAAGCACCGGCUAACUACGUGCCAGCCGCCGCAGUAACAC
rnacentral:rRNA from 1 species